GGAGGUCACCUCCAUAACUGACUAUAUGCCCCCCCCGUCUCUUUCCUCCAGGAGGUCACCUCCAUAACUGACUAUAUGCCCCCCCCGUCUCUUUCCUCCAGGAGGUCACCUCCAUAACUGACUAUAUGCCCCCCGUCUCUUUCCUCCAGGAGGUCAACUCCAUAACUGACUAUAUGCCCCCCCCCCGUCUCUUUCCUCCAGGAGGUCACCUCCAUAACUGACUAUAUGCCCCCCCCGUCUCUUUCCUCCAGGAGGUCACCUCCAUAACUGACUAUAUGCCCCCCCCCCC
rnacentral:lncRNA from 1 species